CAGUCAAAACCACCCUUGAGUUUCAUUGCAAACGAUAACAUGUAGAAGCAGCGCCAGUCUUGGCCAAAUGACAACAAGUGCUAGCUGUGAGUAACUGACAACAAAGUUGUUACGUGCGAAACGUAAAGGUCAUCAUACAAUAUUGACAAGUCAGGACGGAACGAGGCAAUUUUAUUUACUCCAAACCCUACUUCGAUAGCCAGGCUGACUUUCGUCAAGUGUUGCUGUAAAUGAAGCUUGACGCUGUGUUCUAUGCGAAAAGGAUUUUCUUCUUGAUGGCAACGUUCGAUCUUAAAAAGCUGAGUUGGCGUCUUGCCUGAAGGAAUCUUAUGCUGAGGUGAUCUGCAUGCUACAUGUAAGGAUCAAUUUCCGAUUCGUCGAAAAAAAGGUGCCGGGUUAGAUGCGCAUGAGGUAUUUUUGGAAAGAUAAAGCUGUUUCGUCAGAUUCAGUUGGACGAACCUGCUUACAAAGGUCAUUCUGAUAAUGAUAACGCAGUUACAAGAUAAAGGAGCGCAUUUGUUUUUCCCAGACCAAGCAAAGGGCUUCGAAAUUUAUCCAUAUGUACAGUUAUGGACCACUAUCAUGGACGAGUGAGAAUCAGCAAGCUAGCAAACCCAACAGGUCCUGGAUAUCGUCCGAGUGGUCCUCCAGCGUCAUGAUACGGUAAGCGAAGGCUGAAUAUUGGAUACAAUCUCAUCGUCUCAAUGCUCGUGUUGCGUUCACGGGAAGGAAAUCUCAGGAAAGUAUGUCUUGAAGCGGUAGCUCGAGUCGGCAUCGGUUUAAAGUGACGGCGCAACGGCCACAAGAUGAACCAGUUUUAAAUAAAAACUGGUUCCUUAAUAGAACUUCAGAUCGUCGUUUACAGAAUAAAUAAGCACUACGCGGAAACGGUACAAAUACGGUGCAAGUGACCAAAUUGUAAGGUCAAAUAGAUCUCUCACUACCAUGAUUAUCACCUCCCAUGAGGCUAAGAAGAUCGAUCGACCGAACGUAACAUCACCUUGGCUCCUGUUGACGUUGUAAACAGAUGUUGAAAUAC
rnacentral:lncRNA from 1 species